GCCCUCAUAGCUCAAUGGAUAGAGCAAUUCCGUCCUAAGGAAGAGAUCUGGGUUCGAUUCCUGGUGGGGGCA
rnacentral:tRNA from 1 species